GCCAGCAGCCAUGUCGCCCUGCAACUCCCAGCUGGCAGCCCCCCCCCCCCCACUGAAGCUCAGCGGGUGUGAGCCUGGUCAGUACCUGGAUGGGGAGACCUCCUGGGAAAAAACUAAGGCUGCUGCUGGAA
rnacentral:rRNA from 1 species